UACAGAGGGUGCGAGCGUUGUCCGGAAUCACUGGGCGUAAAGGGCGCGUAGGUGGCGACCCAAGUCAAUGGUGAAAGCUCGAUGCUCAACAUCGAGUCGGCCACUGAUACUGGGUUGCUUGAGCACUGUAGAGGCUAAUGGAAUUCCGGGUGUAGCGGUGGAAUGCGUAGAGAUCCGGAAGAACACCGGUGGCGAAGGCGGUUAGCUGGGCAGUUGCUGACACUGAGGCGCGACAGCGUGGGGAGCAAACAGG
rnacentral:rRNA from 1 species